UCUGGUGACAAUAGCAAAGAGGUCACACCUGUUCCCAUGCUGAACACAGAAGUUAAGCUCUUUAGCGCCGAUGGUAGUCGGACUAACGUUCCGCUAGAGUAGGACGUUGCCAGGC
rnacentral:rRNA from 1 species